UGGGUAACCUGCUUAUAGUGGGGGAUAGCCUUUCGAAAGGAAGAUUAAUACCGCAUAAGAUUGUAGUAUCGCAUGAUAUAGCAAUUAAAAGGAAGCAAUCCGCUAUAAGAUGGACCCGCGUCGCAUUAGCUAGUUGGUGAGGUAAUGGCUCACCAAGGCGACGAUGCGUAGCCGACCUGAGAGGGUGAUCGGCCACAUUGGGACUGAGACACGGCCCAGACUCCUACGGGAGGCAGCAUG
rnacentral:rRNA from 1 species